CUGAAACACCCACGUUUCCAGAUAGAUAGGGAUGGAGGUGGCUGCCUCUGCUUCUGAGCCGUGAGGUAGUUUGAUGUUUUGAGGGUUAAAAUGAGUCUGCAGAGCGUUUACUAAUUGUGUUUCACCUCAUAGGGCUUACAAGAGUAACGGCCUGACUUCAGUCCAGCAGGAAUAUGAGGCGUUUGAGGCUGUGCUGCCGUGCAGUGAGACGUGGACAGGCUGCAGAGGUGGGCAGGGAGGAACUGAACGAGAGGAGGAACGAGAUUUAACAAGAGCAGGAGUGGAGUCUGACACCUGGGGAGGAAUAACCACAUGUAUCAGUACAGGUUAGGGGAUGGAUGACCUGGUGGAGAGGAGCUCUGCAUGGAAGGACCUGUGGGUCCCGGUGGCCAGCAGGCAGUCCAUGAGCCAGCAGUGUGCCCAGGAGGGCCGGUGGGAUCCUGGGGUGCGUCACUAAAAGCGCUGGGCAGCAGGUGAGGGAGGUGACCUGCCCUGGUGAGGCCACUUUUACAAAAAAAAGUCCUGGAAUCUGAGUCCACAACUCUGUUGCUGUCAGAGUAAGUACGUGGGUUUUUCUUUGGUUGUUUCCUCGGAAUAAAAGCUAUUGAGAAGAAUUCUGCAAAAACUGAAAACGCGGCAUUAAAGGCUCAAUUUGUAAGGGAGAGGCCCUUUGAGACUUUGGCAUCUAAGAGAAAAUAUUAUGUGCUGUUAAGCCCAUCCCAGGGAAAUCCAGUUUUCUGGUAGUGUGAGCCAUUCUUCCGUGUUCAAUAUAUAUAUUUUUAAAUAACAACAACAGUGAUAAUCACUGCAUUGUAACAAGUCUUACUAUUAAAGGCUGAGGCAAAGAAGGCAUUAGGUACUUCAGCCUUGUCCUUAUCCUUGGUCACCAAGCUGCCCUUGGCAUCCAACAACAAGGAGAGACUGAAGGAGCUGAGGCUGUUUAGUCUAGAGAAAAGGAGGCUGAGGGGAGACCUUAUUACUCUCUUCCAAUACCUGAAAGGUGCUUACAGUGAGAGCAGGGUUGGUCUCUUCUCACAGGUGACAGGAUGACGUGAAAUGGCCUCAAGUUGUGCCAGAGGAGGUUUAGGUUGGAUAUCAGGAAACACUUCUUUACAGAAAGUGUUGUUAAACACUGGAAUGGGCUCCUCAGGGAGGUGGUUGAGUCACCAUCCCUGGAUGUGUUUAGAAACCAUUUGGAUGUGGUGCUCAGGGAUGUGAUUUAGCAGAGGGUUGUUGGAGUUGGGGUAGUAUGGUUAGGUUGUGGUUGGACUCGAUGAUCUUUAAGGUCUUUUCCAACCUGAAUGAUUCUAUGAUUCUGUUGUAAUAUCUGUACCUGUAGGAUGCAUAUCCCUUUGCUGGAAUGUAGAAGAGCAGUGAACCAGUAGAAAUAGGGAGUUUUAUACCAGAAUAAUAAUAAUAUAUUCAGAAAGUCUUUGCUAUUGUGAGAAGCUGCCAGUGGCUGAGGUAGGGCCUGUAUGACUGUCUUCAGACAGCUUUAGUGGUUUCUGUCCAUAAAAGAAUGAGUGAAAGGAGCCCGUGAGCUGAGAAAAACAUGCAGCAGUGCUUUCUAUUUUGACAAAGGAAUUUGAGAAGAGGUUUCAAGAUUGGAAAAAAAAAAUAUAUCAAUUUUUUGGGUAUAUUUGUGACUCGAUUUUCAGUCAACAUAAAUACCAUGAAUCCGUGAAUUUUCAGAUGGAAUGUAGAGAAAAUGAGAUAUUCAACUCAAGAAUCUGAUCAUGUUUCUCUACCAGAGAGAAACACCUCUCGCUGCACAAUCUGCCUCAUCAAGUCAUCACUUUCUGGCAGUACAGACAUUUGAGAACUGUUUUCAAGGAUGAAGCACAGAGAGAGUAAAAUGUCAUCAGAAAUCUCUGAUGAAUGCCUCAGAGCUCACUGAGAAUUGUAGCCACUGCCAUCAAACCAGCCUGAUGCAGCAGUGUCACAAAAACCUGGUCACAUAUCCUGCUGGUGUGACGUUUUUGUUGCUCUUUUUUAGUAUUUUAAGUAUUUUUUAUAUAGCUUUCUUUAACAGUGAAUGACCAAGUGCACCCUCAGUAAGUUUGCAGAAACCAGGAAGGCUCUGCAGAGUGGUAUGGAUAGGCUACAUCAAUGGGCUGAGAUCAACCACAAUAAUGAGACUAAUCUGCACCCACUGACGUUCACCUGAAUAUUUUGAAACAUAAAAAGAAUGUUGUCAUGGUGCUCCAAGUUGGCAGUUCCCAAGAUCAGAGUUAAUAUCAUAAAUGCAAUAAGUGCUGGGAUGUGGCCACAGACAAUAAAUCAAUCCUUUAUCUACCUUCUGAAUGUCUACCUUGGCCCUUCAGAACUGAAGGUUUGAUGAAGUUGGGGGUUUUUCAAGAGCAUCCAGAUACCUGAAGGAAAUUGGACACUACUGGGCUUUGCAUUUGAUGCAGAUGUUUAUGUACAGAUCUUAUCUCUAAUAUAAUCCCUUGUUAUUAAAAAAUCAGGAUUGGUUUGUCAACUCACCUUCAUGAUGAAAGCUGAUGGCAGCUUACUGCAGCACUGAGUGCACACGGGAUCUCUCUCCUUGCAUGCACUCACAGGAGCUAAAAAACACACAGAUACAUUCAGUAUGCAAAUAUUCAUGCAUUUUCUGUGAAUUCCAAGAAUUGCUAUCCAUAUUAACAUCUAAUGCUAUGCAUGCACUGUGUUAAUGUGGGGUUUUUGCAAGGGGUGGUUGUUGGGUUCAACUGGGAGAUGCUAUCCAGCCAAAAGGUCGUAAGCUAAAUAGGUCACAACCCUCAUUUGGUCACAGACUACUCACAGAAAUUGGCUGCUGACUAAUUAUAACGUUGUGGUGCCUGUAGUACCAGCCCAAGCAGGGCACGGUGUACAUCUCCACAGCUUGUGGAACGCUGAGACUCUGCUUUUAGGCUCCAGAUGUCCUGCUUAUCACAGAAAAACAACCUUCCCCAGAUGGAAUGUCGGCUUGCUGAAGAUUCUGAAUUAAUUGCUGGGCAUCAAAGCUCUCAAGAAUUUCCAAUGAUGGAGCUUGAUAAUUGGAUCCAUUCUUAAUAGAUUUUAGUAAGUGUCAAGCAAGCCACUUUCGUGCUUAGGAAUUUGGGAUGAACAAGAACUGUUUGUUGGGUUCAGUAGUUUACAGUUAAAAUUCCAAACUGAAUAUAAGCUGUAAGGCACUUUCUUUGUGCUUUCUUCUCUGUUAAGGACACACUAUACAAGACAGAAAGGGAGACAGCUAACACAGCUCUGCUUUUCUUACUGCUGGACUGGUGUUGGAAUAAGAUGUAGGUUGGGGAAAAUAGUGGAACAUAAACAGUUAUGUGCAGCUUUUUUUUUAUUAAUUAAAAAUGUUAGGCUGAUGAAAUUAUCACUAGCUAUUAGGCUUCCCGAUGUUCUAGACAAGGGCUUUUAAAUCACUUUGGGGCUCCGAGUCUGCAGGAGCGUAAAUCCCUGUUCUACCCUCGCUGUUUAGUGGAGGACAGGGAUGGUCUGAAUGUUCAGUGUAAAGCUGUUCUAAUGCAGUGCCAAAACUGUUCUGUUUCUGCUGACUGCGUGUAAGAGAGAAGAGCAAAAACCUGUCUGUUAGUUUAACACAGUGUUCAGUGUUACUGGCAGCGUCAGAGGCUGAAGCAGCUGAAUACAUUGUCCUGCAUCUGGGAAGGAGCCACAGGAGGGCAUGGCUGCACUUGACAAGAUGAACACUUUUUUUUUACGUGCUUCCAUUCAAGUUUGAAGGCGCUCACUGAUAACUGAAAAGCUAAUAUUUGGGAUCUGAAUUUAAAAACUUCAAAAACUGAGUGGUCUUAGCAAAAGAUGUUGUGUCCCAAAGGCAUUAAUUAGGCAUUCAUAAUCUCAUUUCCUGUAUUUUUACUUGAAAGAAUCAAUUGUCUGGCUUACAGACUCGCCCGUAUCCCUGUGAGUUUUAUCAUUAUCUCUCCGUGGUUAAAUGCUGUGAUGAAUCCUGUGCCUUCAGUUCUGAGCAGCCUUAAUUCCAAGUGAUUAACAUGGCAUCUGACAUGACUUAACCUCACAGAAGAUUCAGUAAGAGUUAUGUCAGAGGCUUUUGGUGGGUAUCAGCAAAAUAAGGCUAAGACUUAGGUAGACUUAAAUAGUAAAGUUACUUCUCUGAGUGUUCAACCAGUGACUUCAGCUGUCUUAAAGGAAGAAAUCUAUCUUGGUUGAAGUAUUUUGACACUCAUAGACACAAGUACUGCAGCUGGACACCUUCCAAAAGUGUGUUUUGUCUGAAAAGCAAUCACAUCUUGUAGAACACGGGGUUACUCAGCAAAGCUAUGUGCUUCUGCUCUGAGAAUAACACAGAGUACAUCAUCCAUCUGAUUUACUGCCCAACUCAUCUUUUCUUCAACUAGCUCCUUUAAAACAAAGCACAAAUAAAGAUACAUUAAUAGAUGUCCUUUUCCUGAUGCUAAAUCCACUGUUAAAUUCAAUAUGAGCAUAGAUCAAAUGGGUGACAUCAACAGCAACUGCUGAGAAAUGCUUUUUGUUUUGUUGCUGUCAACCUUUCUUGCAGCAUUGCAGGUUUGUUUCAGUCUCCCUUCUCUUUUACUGUAGUUAAAAUCCAUACAGACAAUCUUUGCACACCUUACUGUGAAAAAUGGAAUUGCUGAAAGGUGAGUUUCUGUCACUUUAUUGUUGAUGCCAGUGCCAGAUCCACAGUUUAGAACACAGCUACACUAAAAACAUCUUCAAACUGUAAGCCCUAUGCCUGCACUAAAUCUCUGCUAUUUAAUUUAUGGAGAUAGGACAAAAUGAUAUUUAAAUUUCUAGAACUGUGUCUGUCUCUACUUUUUGGUUUGGAGAAAUCAUGAAGUUCUCAGAUUCUAAACCAUCUUGUGUCAGCAUCUGAAUGCCACUUCUUUGUCUUAGUUCUAGCCUGUGUGUAACCUACUAAUGCAAAAAAUACUCCCCGAACUUUCCAACCUCCUCUACUGGCAUGCCAAAAUUGGUAUUGUUCUUGAAGCAGUAAGACAAGCCGUGCCUUAUGGCCACCCUGAGAAUCAUAGAGUAUCAUCUUUAUGAUUAAUUUAAUAUAAUUCCUAGUUUUUAUGAAUAAUUUAGUGUCACGUUGCAGGCUGUGGCGGCUCCUCCCAAUGGCUCUGGAUUGGCGUUGCAGUGACACAGAGCAGCCAGCAGAUGGCGCUCUCAGCACAGUCAAGCGACGAAUCCUCGUAUGAAUCGAGGCAAACACCAGGCGUGCAGAAACAGUGCUGAGAAUUCUUUUACCAUCGAGUAUCGACCGCUGGUCCCUUUUAGUACACGUAUAUGAGAACGUCUACGUGCCAGCAUUUUGCUUACCUGGAAAUGUGUUCUCAGUGUGGAAGGAAAUUGCCACAUGACGCUCAGGAAUGGUAGAUGAUUUGAACCCUAAUGCUAACCCUAGCAGCUGGUACUGCAGUGCUGUAGGAAAAGCAUCAGCUCUGUGUCCCCAGGAAGCAGGACCUUGCUCAGAUGCCUUUGCAGUCAUAUCAACUGACCACAUCUUUUCCAAGAUGUGAGAACAAGAGGAAAUGUUACGAGUUCAGUUACAGAGCCAAGCACCCAGGAUUCUUACUGGAAGGAGGAAAUGAUAAGCCACACUUUCUGCCUUGCUGAAUUCUUCUCUCUUGCAAAAAGCUUAUUGGAAAAAAUACAAAGCUCUUCCAAGAUCCACUUGCCAAAGCUGUACAAGCAGUUUCCUGAUUUGCACCAUGACUGAAGCCUUUAGUAAGUAAGAGCCAUUGGAAAAGCAGCUGUGGACUUACCUAGCCAACAAACUGAGAACUCCCAGGCACUACUACUUAUAUCCUUGUAUCAUACAGAUGCCAAAGACAGUGAAAGAAUGGGUGGCUCGUGGAAAGGAACAGCAAAGGAGAAUACUGCACAUAAGGAGAAAAAAACUGACAGAAGGAAAAGCUGAAAGAACAGGCUUCGAUGGCAGCGAGAAAGGAGGAGAUAUAAGGAUGAAGUUUAAUAGUAUUUUUGAACAUGCUUGCAACAGAACAGCGACAAAGGUGAGAUACUUAGGAAUGAUAGAAGAUAAAGAAAUUUAAGGAAGCACAGAAAAAAAUUGAGCUGGGAAAAAUAAUAAUAAAAGAAAUAGGUGUUUCUGGAUAAGCAGUGGGAAAACAGCCACUAUGUUUGAAGGAGUGUCAGAAGGCAAACAUCUUUAUUCUUCAGGUAGAAAAGACUGCCUCCCAGUGGCCCAUCGAGUGAUGGAUGUAAUAGCUUUUCUGUGUUUCAUUUUGAGUUGCUGUUGGUGCUUUCAAAGAGUGAUGUGGCAAAUAUCUAGAAGAAGGGAGUCCUGGUUGUUGCUGUUGUGGGUUUUUUUUAAGUAUAUUUCCUUUUUCUGUGUGUUUUCAGUAAAAUGAGGUAUGGAAACCCAAAGAAUGAGUGGAAUUAUUUAUGCUCAUAUCAGUAUUGAAGCAUCAGGAGAAAAAUAAAUGACACUGAUUGUGUAGAGGUAUUUCUUAACAGAGUGAA